rnacentral:rRNA from 1 species
UACGUAGGUGGCGAGCGUUGUCCGGAAUUAUUGGGCGUAAAGCGCGCGUAGGCGGACCAGCAAGUCAGGGGUGAAAGCCCGGGGCUCAACCCCGGAACUGCCUUUGAUACUGUUGGUCUGGAGUUCGAGAGAGGUGGGUGGAAUUCCGAGUGUAGAGGUGAAAUUCGUAGAUAUUCGGAGGAACACCAGUGGCGAAGGCGGCCCACUGGCUCGACACUGACGCUGAGGCGCGAAAGCGAGGGGAGCAAACAGG